rnacentral:misc_RNA from 1 species
AUUUUGAAUUGAUUGUGCUUGAUUGCAAGAACUUAUUGAAAGAGUUGUUACAUUGCAUCUCAGUGAAUACUGAAUAAUGUUGCCCAUUUGUUAGCCACAACAUGAUUUCAAGAAAAUUAUGGAUUUUUUUCUAGUGCAGAUCGGGUUCACAUAUUUGCAAUUUAAGUUCAUGGUAGAUCAAUUUAAAUAAGAAUUUUCGGAAAAUUAUAAGAUAGACUUGGUGUGCCAGGUCAGCUUAGUGAUCUGGUACUCCCAAUAAAAAUAUAGCAAAAUAACAAGAAGAGAGCUCUAAGGCUAGAAGAACAAGUAAGCAGAACAAAGUAGCAGCAAUUCCAAGCCAAGACCAAAACAGAACAGGAAUCACGAGAUAAGCCAAGUUGACGCAGCUGUAACAGAGUCUCCUCGAAGCAAUUCGGCAACAAGAAGAGCUUCACAACCAUCAGCAAUCAAGCAAUAGGGACAAAACAUUAUGAUAGCAUCCAGAAGAUUUCAGAAACAAACGGAGAAAUUGCCACAAGCCUACGCCAAACCAGUGAUACAUAAACUAACAGUUGUCCCAGAAUUAAAAACAAGAACUAUUCCAGAACUCAAGGAAUAACACGAAGCACUUCAGGAGAGGUUCCUUCUUGUCUUCCCAAUUACACUAGCUAGCCUUCUCUGCCUCGUGCCUAGUUGUUUGAUCAAUGAAGUUUCAUUAUGUUUCAAAGAAAAAAAAAAUAAUAAGACUCAGCCUCCUCUACCAAUCUACACCAAUUGAGCACUGUUUUUUCUACAGUGCAUGAACAACAGCCUCAGUUGACAGUGCCAUUCUUAUGGUGUCCCUGCCUCUGUCUUGGUGUUUACAGUAUAAUUCUUAUCAUGCCCUUGAUAAGAGAUUGGUGAAUUUAUUGUCUAAAUCUUUAAGGGAUAUUAAUCGUACUAUUAGGUUUACAUGGAUCUAAUAGUACGAUUCACCAUCAACACAAAAUCUGCAUCAUUUUAGUUUUCUUUUUUUGUCAUGUUAAAGAUUUAGCAUUAAAUGCAAUUAGAUUUUGUGGCCUUGCCAAUAAAAAAGUAUUUUUCUUCUCUGAUUUGCUCAGGGAAAUGCAAGAAUGGUUUCACCAUUAAAUCAGAGAGAAUGGAGCUUACUCAUGUAAAAAUUUGUAGCUUUCUGGUGUCCUUAGGUUCUCUACUAUUUCUUUUUUUAUUUUUUUCCUAUUGCCUUGUGCAAGGAGAUGACUAUUUACUAUGGUUCUUUUGCACUCAUUUACUUGCUCCUUUGCUUUUCUCUGCAAGUAAUCCAUCAGUAAUUUGGAGCUAGGGGGCAGAAUCUACGGUUUCUUACUCUCAUGCUGAUGCCCCUCCAUCUUUGCAACUAUUGGUGAAUUGUUGGUCAUAUGGAACAUUUUCCAUUCUGGAAAUUAGUCUUGGAAUGGACGAAAGUGGCCAGGAUCUCAAGAGAGGCAAUCAAGAACCCUGCGAGAUUGUGUUGUAAUUUUCGACAGCAGAAAAAAAAAUCCAAGAGCAAAAGUGAGUGUUUCUUUUGUUUUCUUCGCCAAAAAAGAGGUCGCCUUUUGUAUGAAGUUAAAAGUGAUCCUGAGCCGAUGUUUAACUGGUGAUUGUUUUCAUUGUCUUGAGAGAUUUGAGGGAAUCAAAUAAAAAGCUCAAAACUUAAAAAGAAGAAGAAGAAGAAGA